GAUGAACGCUGGCGGCGUGCCUAAUACAUGCAAGUCGAGCGACCACACGAUGAGCUUGCUCCUCUGCCGUUAGCGGCUGACGGGUGAGUAACACGUGGAUCACCUUCCUAUAUUACUGGGAUAACUUCGUGAAACCGGAUCUACUACUGGCUCAUAUAUUGAACCGCUUGGUUCAAUAGUUCAUGACGGCUUUGCUGUUUCUUUUAGCUGAUUUCGGGCCGGAUUAGCUAGUUGGUAAGGUAACGGCGUAACAAGGCGACGAUGCUUAUCCGACCUGAGAGGAUGAUACGGCACACUGGAACUGAGAAACGGGCCAGACUCCUACGGGAGGCAGCAGUGGGGAAUAUUGGAAAAUGGGCGCAAGCCUGAGCCAGCCAAACCGCGGGGGUGAAGAAGGGCUUCGGGUUGUAAAACCUUUUUGUUGGGAAAGAAAAGAAGGAGGUAAAUACCAAGCUGUUCUGAAGGUACCCAAAGAAGAAGAACAGGCUAAAUUCGUG
rnacentral:rRNA from 1 species